rnacentral:rRNA from 1 species
UAGAGGAAGUAAAAGUCGUAACAAGGUUUCCGUAGGUGAACCUGCGGAAGGAUCAUUAUUGAAAUAAACCUGAUGGGUUGUUGCUGGUUCUCUAGGGAGCAUGUGCACACCUUGUCAUCUUUAUAUCUCCACCUGUGCACUUUUUGUAGACCUUUCAGGUCUAUGUUGCUUCAUUUACCCCAAUGUAUGUUAAUAGAAUGUUGUGCCUAUAUAAUAUAUACAACUUUCAGCAACGGAUCUCUUGGCUCUCGCAUCGAUGAAGAACGCAGCGAAAUGCGAUAAGUAAUGUGAAUUGCAGAAUUCAGUGAAUCAUCGAAUCUUUGAACGCACCUUGCGCUCCUUGGUAUUCCGAGGAGCAUGCCUGUUUGAGUGUCAUUAAUAUAUCAACCUUCUCUUUUUGAGUGGUUUGGAUGUGGGGGUUUGCUGGCCUCUUAAAAAGGUCUUGGCUCUCCUGAAAUACAUUAGCAGAACAACCCUGUUCAUUGGUGUGAUAAACUAUCUAUGCUAUUGAAUGUGAAGGGCAGUUUGGCUUUCUAACAGUCCUUGGACAAGCUCAUCAUUAAUGUGACCUCAAAUCAGGUAGGACUACCCGCUGAACUUAAGCAUAUCA